rnacentral:rRNA from 1 species
GUAACAGGCGUAGCAAUAUCGUGCUGACGAGUGGCGCACGGGUGCGUACACGUAUGCAACCUUCCUUCAACUGGAGAAUAGCCCGAAGAAAUUCGGAUUAACUCUCCAUAGUAAAACGAAACGGCAUCGUUUUUGUUUUAAACCUCCGGGGGGUUGAAGAUGGGCAUGCGUUGCAUUAGCUAGUUGGCGGGGUAACAGCCCACCAAGGCUACGAUGCAUAGGGGUUCUGAGAGGAUUAACCCCCACAUGGUACUGAGACACGGCCCACACUCUCUACGGGAGCAGCAGUAGGGAAUCGUCGGCAAUGGGCGAAAGCCUGACCGCGCCGACGCCGCGUGAAGGAAGAAGGCCUUCGGGUUGUAAACUUCUUUUAUGAGGGACGAUUAUGACGGUACCUCAUGAAUAAGGACCUGCUAACUACGUGCCAGCAGCAGCGGUAAUACGUAGGGUCCAAGCGUUAUCCGGAAUUAUUGGGCGUAAAGAGCGUGUAGGUGUUCUAUCAAGUCGGUCGUUACAUUUCAGAGCUCAACUCUGACCUGCGAGCGAUACUGAUGGAAUGGGUUUUUCAGGGGGCAAGCAGAAUUUCCAGAGUAGGGGUGAAAUCCGUUGAUACUGGAAGGAAUACCAAUGGCGAAGGCAGCUUGCUAGGAAAUGACUGACACUGAGACGCGAAAGCGUGGGGAGCAAACGGGAUUAGAUACCCGGUAGUCCACGCCGUAAACUAUGUCAACCAGCAAUAGGGAGAGUCGACCCCUCUGUUGCGAAGCUAACGCGUCAAGUUGACCGCCUGGGAAGUACGAUCGCAAGAUUAAAACUCAAAGAAUUGGCGGGGCUCGCACAAGUGGUGGAAGCAUGUGGGUUUAAUUCGACAACAAGCGAAGAACCUUAUCCAGGGCUUGACAUCUUAGGAACCCGCUGGAAACAGUGGGGUGCCGCAAGGAGCCUAAAGACAGGUGCCGCGCGGGUCGUCGUCAGUUCGUGGCGUGAGCUGUGAGGUUAAGUCCCUUGAACGAACGAAACCCUCGUCCUAUGUUAAAUAUUUCAUAGGAGACAGCCCUGUGCAACAGGGAGGGAAGGUUGGGAUGACGUUCAGAUCCGCGUGGCCUUUAUGCCCUGGGGCAACACACGUGCUACAAUCCGUCUACAAAGGGUUGCCAAACCGAAGGUGGAGCUAAUCCCAAAAAAGCAUGGUUAGUUCGGAUUGGAGGCUGCAACUCGCCUCCAUGAAGCUGGAAUCACUAGUAAUCGUGAAUCAGAACGUCACGGUGAAUACGUUCUCGAGCCUUGCACACACCGCCCGUCAAGUUGGCCGAGUCGGUAACACCAGAAGCAUCGGGAUUACCCGGUACCAAGGUGGGAUCGGCAAGGAAAGCU